rnacentral:rRNA from 1 species
AUUCCAGCUCCAAUAGCGUAUAUUAAUGUUGUUGCAGUUAAAAAGCUCGUAGUUGGAUUUCUGGUCGGGACGUCUGGCCGGCUCCGCAAGGGGUCGUUGCAUUGACUGUACUCGUCCAUCCUCAGGUUGACUAGCUCUGGUAUUUAUUUAUCGGUGUUAGAACGCCUGUCGUUUACUGUGAACAAAUUAGAGUGUUCAAAGCAAGGUGUACUUGAAUACAUUAGCAUGGAAUAAUAAGAUAGGACUUUGGUGGUUCUUUUUAGAUAUUUUGUUGGUUUGCACGCCAAAGUAAUGAUUAAUAGGAGCAGUUGGGGGUAUUCGUAUUCAAUUGUCAGAGGUGAAAUUCUUGGAUUUAUAGAAGACGAACUACUGCGAAAGCAUUUACCAAGGAUGUUUUCAUCA